rnacentral:rRNA from 1 species
AGGUUAAGUUAAUAAGGGCGCACGGUGGAUGCCUUGGCACUAGAAGCCGAAGAAGGACGUGACUAACGACGAAAUGCUUUGGGGAGCUGUAAGUAAGCGCUGAUCCAGAGAUGUCCGAAUGGGGGAACCCACUAGCUACUGGCUAGUAUCCAUAACUGUUAAGGUUAUGAGAAGGAAGACGCAGUGAACUGAAACAUCUAAGUAGCUGCAGGAAGAGAAAGCAAACGCGAUUGCCUUAGUAGCGGCGAGCGAAACGGCAGGAGGGCAAACCGAGAAGUUUACUUCUCGGGGUUGUAGGACUGCGACGUGGGACUUUAAAAUGAUAGAAGAAUUACCUGGGAAGGUAAGCCAAAGAGAGUAAUAGCCUCGUAUUUAAAAUUAUUUUGAGCCCUAGCAGUAUCCUGAGUACGGCGAGACACGCGAAAUCUCGUCGGAAUCUGGGAGGACCAUCUCCCAACCCUAAAUACUCUCUAGUGACCGAUAGUGAACCAGUACCGUGAGGGAAAGGUGAAAAGCACCCCGGGAGGGGAGUGAAAUAGAACCUGAAACCGUGUGCCUACAACAAGUUCGAGCCCGUUAAUGGGUGAGAGCGUGCCUUUUGUAGAAUGAACCGGCGAGUUACGAUAUGAUGCGAGGUUAAGUUGAAGAGACGGAGCCGCAGGGAAACCGAGUCUUAAUAGGGCGACUUAGUAUCAUGUUGUAGACCCGAAACCAUGUGACCUACCCAUGAGCAGGUUGAAGGUGCGGUAAGACGCACUGGAGGACCGAACCAGGGCACGUUGAAAAGUGCUUGGAUGACUUGUGGGUAGCGGAGAAAUUCCAAACGAACUUGGAGAUAGCUGGUUCUCUCCGAAAUAGCUUUAGGGCUAGCGUCGAUGUUAAGUCUCUUGGAGGUAGAGCACUGUUUGGGUGAGGGG